AAUAAAUAUAUCUAAAAUAUAUAAUAAACAAUUUUUGAAACCAUUGUUAAGAUUACCUGAAAAAAAAGAUGCAGCUCUCAUUGAUCCAGAAACUGAUUGGGGCUCUGAACUAUAUUAGAUACUGCUAUGUGGCUCAUAGUGACAUGAAGUUUGGCUAUCCUUGUAUUAGACUGUGGAAAGUAUCUUUGGAUAUUCUGUAUCAUUGGAUGCAUUUCCUUGCAUCCCAUAAAUAUUUGAACAUGAUCCUUAAACCAUUCCUUGUGAGCUUUGCACAUAAAAAUAUUCUUCUUGCUAAAAAAAUUCAUGCCAUUCAGAUACAGUCAGAAUGUAGGAGGGCAAUGCUUGAUCUGAAACAUAUCUAGAUAGGAUCUAGUGAAGAAGAUAUGUUUAUUAGAGCUAAUGAUGUCCAUGAGAACAAAUCUUCAUAUGAUACUAUUAUAGCCAGUCUGUUUUCUGUGCAGAUGGAAGCUAAAAUUAUUCAACUGAAUUCAUUAAUUAUUUAAUCAUUUUUUAUAUUGAUUAUGAUGGUUUUUUAGC
rnacentral:lncRNA from 1 species